CCUACGGUGUGCUGCAGUGAGGAAUAUUGGUCAAUGGGCGCAAGCCUGAACCAGCCAAGUCGCGUGAGGGAUGACGGUCCUAUGGAUUGUAAACCUCUUUUGUCGGGGAGCAAGGCCCGCCACGUGUGGCGGGCAGGAGAGUACCCGAAGACAAAGCAUCGGCUAACUCCGUGCCAGCAGCCGCGGUAAUACGGAGGAUGCGAGCGUUAUCCGGAUUUAUUGGGUUUAAAGGGUGCGUAGGCGGAUCGUUAAGUCAGUGGUCAAAUUGAGGGGCUCAACCCCUUCCCGCCAUUGAAACUGGCGCUCUUGAGUGGAAGAGAAGUAUGCGGAAUGCGUGGUGUAGCGGUGAAAUGCAUAGAUAUCACGCAGAACCCCGAUUGCGAAGGCAGCAUGCCGGCUUCCGACUGACGCUGAAGCACGAAAGCGUGGGGAUCGAACAGGAUUAGAUACCCGAGUAGUC
rnacentral:rRNA from 1 species